UCCUGCUCUUAGGUCAGUAUGCCUGAUUUGUUAUGUAUUUAUGGGUUUCUAUUUUGAGCACUUACUACUGCAUGUAUAGUGUUUAUUUGAUGUUUACAUGCUUGUACUGUUACCUGCACUUUCUUUAUACAAUCUAUACAUAUCCACUGUAUAAAUAAAAACAUUUUAUAUGUCAAUUUUUUCUGAUGUGUUUGGGGUUAUUUUCUGCUAAGUUUAUGGAUCUGGUGGGGGAUCAGAUUUUCCCUUAGAGCACCUGGCACUUCUUUAUUAUACAAUUACCCAUAUUUGAUUUGAGCGCUUACCAUAAUUUUAUAUGCAUAUCUUAAGGGGCCUGGGACACUGCACCCAGACCACUUCAAUUACUUUCAGGGGACUCCAGACACUAUAACCAUUAU